AGCUUUACAAAAUGCACUAAUGCACCGAAUUUCAUCAAAACUCUACAGUUAAGGUUGCUUGAGCGAGAGUAGUAUUAGGAUGAGUGACUUUUUGAGAAGUCCUUGUGUUGCACCUA
rfam:Glycine soja cultivar W05 scaffold1570_93, whole genome shotgun sequence.